UAGAGUUUGAUCCUGACUCAGGAUGAACGCUAGCUACAGGCUUAACACAUGCAAGUCGAGGGGAAACGGCAUUGAGUGCUUGCACUCUUUGGACGUCGACCGGCGCACGGGUGAGUAACGCGUAUCCCACCUUCCCAUUACUGUGGGAUAACCUGCCGAAAGGCAGACUAAUACCGCAUAGUCUUCGAUGACGGCAUCAGAUUUGAAGUAAAGAUUUAUCGGUAAUGGAUGGGGAUGCGUCUGAUUAGCUUGUUGGCGGGGUAACGGCCCACCAAGGCAACGAUCAGUAGGGGUUCUGAGAGGAAGGUCCCCCACAUUGGAACUGAGACACGGUCCAAACUCCUACGGGAGGCAGCAGUGAGGAAUAUUGGUCAAUGGACGGAAGUCUGAACCAGCCAAGUAGCGUGCAGGAUGACGGCCAUAUGGGUUGUAAACUGCUUUUGUAUGGGGAUAAAGUUAGGGACGUGUCCCUAUUUGCAGGUACCAUACGAAUAAGGACCGGCUAAUUCCGUGCCAGCAGCCGCGGUAAUACGGAAGGUCCAGGCGUUAUCCGGAUUUAUUGGGUUUAAAGGGAGCGUAGGCUGGAGAUUAAGUGUGUUGUGAAAUGUAGACGCUCAACGUCUGAAUUGCAGCGCAUACUGGUUUCCUUGAGUGCGCACAACGUUGGCGGAAUUCGUCGUGUAGCGGUGAAAUGCUUAGAUAUGACGAAGAACUCCGAUUGCGAAGGCAGCUGACGGGAGCGCAACUGACGCUUAAGCUCGAAGGUGCGGGUAUCAAACAGGAUUAGAUGCCCUGGUAGUCCGCACAGUA
rnacentral:rRNA from 1 species